rnacentral:lncRNA from 1 species
GGGCGCGCGCGCAGGUCCCCAGCACAUCUGGGUAAGAGCCGAGCCUCUGGAAGCGAGCGGGGCGCCGAGCGCCUGUCUGGAGCGGCAGAGCCACCACGCAGGCGGAGCCCCUUCGAGACGCUCCGGGCGCACAUCUGGGACCGGGAGAAGGGACCGCGCGGCGCGCAGCUGGACGCGGGGAGGGGGCGGCGGCUGCACAGCUGGACCGAAGGGGGCGGGGUCGGUCCCAGCAACUGGCUGAGGGGAGGGCCGCAAGCCACCAGGGACCGAAGCAUGGGACAGCGCGCCUGAAGGAGCAGUCCGGGGCGGAGGGGGCCUGGGACCCCGAAAGGAAAAGAGAGACGGGUGAGAGCAGAGGAGGAAGAUGCAACUGACCCGCUGCUGCUUCGUGUUCCUAGUGCAGGGCAGCCUCUAUCUGGUCAUCAUCAGUCCAGAUGUUGUGGCUGAGCUCCUGUCCCCUCAUGGGUGACAAACACACUGGUCAUCUGCGGCCAAGAGGAUGGGCCCCCUGGCUCAGAGGACCCUGAGCAUGAUGACCAUGAGGGUCA